rnacentral:rRNA from 1 species
AGAGCGAACGCUGGCGGCAGGCUUAACACAUGCAAGUCGAGCGGGCGUAGCAAUACGUCAGCGGCAGACGGGUGAGUAACGCGUGGGAACAUACCUUUUGGUUCGGAACAACACAGGGAAACUUGUGCUAAUACCGGAUAAGCCCUUACGGGGAAAGAUUUAUCGCCGAAAGAUUGGCCCGCGUCUGAUUAGCUAGUUGGUGAGGUAACGGCUCACCAAGGCGACGAUCAGUAGCUGGUCUGAGAGGAUGAUCAGCCACAUUGGGACUGAGAUACGGCCCAGACUCCUACGGGAGGCAGCAGUGGGGAAUAUUGGACAAUGGGGGAAACCCUGAUCCAGCAAUGCCGCGUGAGUGAAGAAGGCCUUAGGGUUGUAAAGCUCUUUCGGCGGGGACGAUGGUGACGGUACCCGCAGAAGAAGCCCCGGCUAACUUCGUGCCAGCAGCCGCGGUAAUACGAAGGGGGCUAGCGUUGUUCGGAAUCACUGGGCGUAAAGGGCGCGUAGGCGGCGCGACAAGUCAGGCGUGAAAGCCCCGGGCUCAACCCGGGAAUUGCGCUUGAUACUGUCGUGCUUGAGGCCGGGAGAGGAUGGCGGAAUUCCCAGUGUAGAGGUGAAAUUCGUAGAUAUUGGGAAGAACACCGGUGGCGAAGGCGGCCAUCUGGACCGGUUCUGACGCUGAGGCGCGAAAGCGUGGGGAGCAAACAGGAUUAGAUACCCUGGUAGUCCACGCCGUAAACGAUGAGUGCUAGACGUCGGGGGGUUCACCCUCCGGUGUCGCAGCUAACGCUUUAAGCACUCCGCCUGGGGAGUACGGUCGCAAGAUUAAA